GGCGAUUAGCUCAGUUGGGAGAGCACCUGCCUUACAAGCAGGGGGUCACUGGUUCGAGCCCGGUAUCGCCCAC
rnacentral:tRNA from 1 species